AACGCAACUUGCGCCCCUUGGUAUUCCGAGGGGCAUGCCUGUUUGAGUGUCAUUAAAUUCUCAACUUCAAAAGCUUUGUCUUUCUGAAGCUUGGAUGUGAAGGCUGCUGGCGUCUUAGAUGUUCAGCUCCUUUAAAAUGCAUUAGUGGACCCGUUUGUGUUCAACCUUAGUGUGAUAAUUAUCUACGCUAUGGCUUUGAAUACUUGCUCAUUAGAACUUUUCGGGGUGUUUUUACAUUCUCGGUUUGGAGGGUUGCAUUAGGUUGCUCUCUCUGUCUAUUGAGUUAGGAUUGUCUGCUUCAAACCGUCUGCACUCGUAGACAAUUUGAACCAUUUGACCUCAAAUCAGGUAGGACUACCCGCUGAACUUAA
rnacentral:misc_RNA from 1 species